GACGAACGCUGGCGGCGUGCUUAACACAUGCAAGUCGAACGGAAAGGCCCUGCUUUUGUUGGGUGCUCGAGUGGCGAACGGGUGAGUAACACGUGAGUAACCUGCCCUUGACUUUGGGAUAACUUCAGGAAACUGGGGCUAAUACCGGAUAGGAGCUCCUGCUGCAUGUUGGGGGUUGGAAAGUUUCGGCGGUUGGGGAUGGACUCGCGGCUUAUCAGCUUGUUGGUGGGUAGUGGCUUACCAAGGCUUUGACGGGUAGCCGGCCUGAGAGGGUGAACGGCCACAUUGGGACUGAGAUACGGCCCAGACUCCUACGGGAGGCAGCAGUGGGGAAUAUUGCACAAUGGGCGGAAGCCUGAUGCAGCAACGCCGCGUGCGGGAUGACGGCCUUCGGGUUGUAAACCGCUUUCGCCUGUGACGAAGAGUGAGUGACGGUAAUGGGUAAAGAAGCACCGGCUAACUACGUG
rnacentral:rRNA from 1 species